UACGGAGGAUGCGUGCGUUAUCCGGAUUUAUUGGGUUUAAAGGGUGCGUAGGCGGAUCGUUAAGUCAGUGGUCAAAUUGAGGGGCUCAACCCCUUCCCGCCAUUGAAACUGGCGAUCUUGAGUGGAAGAGAAGUAUGCGGAAUGCGUGGUGUAGCGGUGAAAUGCAUAGAUAUCACGCAGAACCCCGAUUGCGAAGGCAGCAUGCCGGCUUCCGACUGACGCUGAAGCACGAAAGCGUGGGGAUCGAACAGG
rnacentral:rRNA from 1 species